UAAAUAACAACACUCGUUAGCCGGGUAAGAAAUGCCGCGGCGAUGUAAUAUCUCGCGAACGCGCGAUUCAAUUUAAUCGCGGUCAUUACGCGCCAUUAAUUAUUUACGCCCGUAUCGCGGUUUAAUAAAAUAUAACAGCGGGGACGGCCGUGUGUUACGCGCGCAUCGGAGGCUUCAAUUAACCGCGGCCACGAUUUAUCAACGACGCGCCAUUAGCGUCGCGAUGAAUACCGGAUUCCUGGCGUAAUCGCGCCAAGAAUUCGAUUAUUCUGGCGCAACGGCGCAGCGGGGAAGCAACCAAGAGUUCGCCGGCCGUGCGUUCGGAUUUCUGAUGGUUUCCGCGGAAAUAAGGGAUCCAGAUCUGCUUCAGUUUCUUAGGAUAACCGUGGGAAACUGUAGAACAAACCUAAAAGUAACCUAGACGCGACGCGAACCUAACCUGAAAACCGGUGCAAUUACGGCGGGAAUUAGUGGGUCAAAUUCAGGACGCUGAAGUGGGCAAGGCGAUCUAACAGUUGUUCGACUGUAAUAUUAAUUUAGCGCUUUUUGUGAAACAAUAUUUUUUCACGCAACUGUCUCUACUUAAAUUUUUCUAACAAUGUUGCAUUGAAAUAGUUCACCAUAUAUUUGCAACAUUUGCCUGGACAGUUCACAUCUCGUAGCUUGCUCGAGGUUUUUUUGGAAAUAAACAACUUAUUUUUACAGAA